rnacentral:pre_miRNA from 1 species
UUUAUGCGGUUGUGUGCCUGUUGCUUGCCUGCCUGCCUGUCCCCGAUGCAAAUUUAACAAGAUUUUAGAAUUUCUGAUUUUCGACCUCUACACACAGACACACACAUACAAAUGUCUGUGAGUAGAGGUCGAAAAUCAGAAAUUCUAAAAUCUUGUUAAAUUUGCAUCGGGGACAGGCAGGCAGGCAAGCAACAGGCACACAA